rnacentral:ncRNA from 1 species
CGCGUGGGAAAGCGGGCCAUAGAAGGUGAGAGCCCUGUAAGAGAAAGUAGAGGGGAGAGGUAGUAUCCUGAGUAGGGCGGGGUCGGAGACGCCCCGUUUGAAUUUGCCAGCACCAUCUGGUAAGGCUAAACACUCCUGAGAGACCGAUAGUGAACCAGUACUGUGAAGGAAAGGUGAAAAGCACUUCGAACAGAAGGGUGAAAGAAGAACCUGAAACCGUACACUUACAAGCGCUUGGAGCCCCGCGAUGGGGUGACAGGGUGCCUUUUGCAUAAUGAGCCUACGAGUUACUGUCACUGGCGAGGUUAAGUGGUAGAAGCCACGCAGCCGGAGCGAAAGCGAGUCUGAAUAGGGCGCAUAGUCAGUGGGAGUAGACGCGAAACUUUGUGAUCUACCCUUGGUCAGGAUGAAGUUCCGGUAACACGGGAUGGAGGUCCGAACUAGUAAACGUUGAAAAGUUUUUGGAUGAACUGAGGGUAGGGGUGAAAGGCUAAUCAAACUGAGAAAUAGCUCGUACUCCCCGAAAUGCCUUUAGGGGCAGUGUGAGGGUUGAGUUUGGCACAGGUAGAGCUACCAAUUGGACUAGGGGGAGUCACAUCCUACCAAAUCCAGAUGAACUCCGAAUGGUGUCAAAUAUACCUUGCAAUGAGGGCGACGGGUGCUAAGGUCCGUGUCCGAGAGGGAAAGAACCCAGACCUGCAGCUAAGGUCCCAAAAUCUACACUAAGUUGAACUAAGGCGGUUCAGUUGCUAGACAGCCAGGAGUUAGCUUGGAAGCAGCUAUUCCAUUUAAAGAGUGCGUAACAGCUCACUGGUCGAGCGACAGAGCAUCGAUAAUAAUCGGGCAUCAAGUAUAGUACCGAAGCUCAGGAUUCGUAGCAAUACGAGUGGUAGGGGAGCAUUCUAUCAUCGGAGAAGCCGAGGGGUCACCUGAGGUGGAGAGGAUAGAAAAGCAAAUGUAGGCAUAAGUAACGAU